GCACUAGUAGCUCAGUCCUUAGAGCGUCG
rnacentral:tRNA from 2 species